GUCUCUACAAAAAACUUAAAAAAUUAGCCAGGUGUGGUGUUGUGUGCCUCUAGUCAGAGCUACUCAGGAAGCUGAGGAGGGAAGACUGCUUGAGCACAAGGUGGCUGAGACUGCACUGAGCUAUGAUCGCACCACCGCACUCCAGCCUGGGAAAAAGAGUGAGACCCUGUCUCUUAAAAAAAAGAUACCUCUCUCUAGGUUGUGACACUGACACCCAGGGUUUGGCUGUCUGGUGAUUCCUGUAAAAACCCCUGUCAAGCGGAUGCACUUAUGCAGUGCUCUCCUCUGUGUACAUUCAUGACUGAAACCGAGGCCCAAGACUACCUACCGGGAUUUUGGUUGGAUGCUGCUCUCGAAUAAGUCGGACAUCUUCUACUCUUUGUUCUGCAAUGAAAUGAAGAGACAGACGCAUUAUUAAGGGCCAGGCAGCUUCUUCCCAGCACUGCUGCUGGUUCUCCAUCCAAGUUCAGCUGUUAGCUGUGGCACAGCAGAACACUGAAGACAUCUUUCCUAGGACUUAAAGAAACAAAACACGAACACUUCAAAUCUGAUAAAGGUUUGUAUCUAAGGCCAAGGGCAACAUAACAUACAUGGCUCUAUCAGGUGAUAGGACAAAGACCAGGAAUAUGGGACAACUAGUUUCAAGGAAUUGGGAGCCCAAAGUCUGUGGUCAGAUAUACAAGGCAGACCCACUGCAUGAGUCCCAGUCCUUCCUCCAAAGACCACUACCACCUAUAAUGUUAACUUCAAUUUUUGUUAAUUUUCCACACUAUAAGUUGGAAAUGGAAUACAUUAUAAACCAGGAAAUGCAAUUUUUCCCUUAUCACUUCCAGCUUUUUAAUGCAGCAAAAGCUAACCUGCUUCCCCAGAUUCCUUUCUUCUAAAACAAGAAAGAUCCUUAAAAGCCUUUACAAACAUUAAAACAAACGGUAGGAGCCUAAGGUGUCCUAUUUUUAAGAACACGUUCUUUGCAAAGUUGUUAUGAGAUAUCUUCAGUCAUUUUAAGUAAAAUUUCAGUUUUUCCAGGAUUUUCCAGGAUUUACUUCUCAGAGAGAAACUGAAGCACUCCCCCUCCCCCAAGGCCAGGCGUGGUGGCUCACACCUGUAAUCCCAGGACUUUGGGAAACCAAGGUGGGAGGAUCACUUGAGGCCAGUAGUUAAAAGACCAGCCUGGGCCACACAGCAACAACUCUAUUUGUCUGUUUGGUUUCUUUUUUUGGUAGAGAUGAGCUCUCACUAUGUUGCCCAGGCUGGUCUUGAACUCCCGAACUCAAGCGAUCCUGCCUUCGCCUCCCAAAGUGCUGGGAUUACAGGUGUGAGCCACCAUGCCCCACACAAUUUUAAUUUUUGAAGUUCAUUCAAUAUUUCCAACACAUCUCCAAGGACACACUAUGUCUCCUGACUCACACAGUCUUGGUCCACUUAACAUACUGGAAAUGAUGGCUACCUACUGGAGAAUGGAAGAAUUCAUGCCAGGUUAAAGGUACCAGUCCAGACUCUGCCACUAGGUGGACCAUGAUCUUCACCACCAGGCCCCACCCAGUUUCUUUAGCUACAAAAGGAAGGGGUUGUUUUCAGUGAGCCUUAAAUCCAUUUCAACUUUGAGAACCCUGUCAAUCCUGGUAGAGUUUAUCAGCAGAGCUAUAUUCAGUAUUAACCUCAAACUCACUCACUUGGAAAGAGAAAGCA
rnacentral:lncRNA from 1 species